rnacentral:pre_miRNA from 1 species
AGUAGAAUUGCUGGGUCAUAUGGUAAUUCUGUCUUUAACUUUUUGGGGAACUGCCAAAUUGUUUUCCACAGCAGGUGCACCAUUUUACAUUCCCACCAGCAAU